GGCUGUCUUACUGCGUUGCAGAGCCACGACUACUUCGGGUUGAUGAAGUGCCAAGCAGGCUUUGGAAGUACUGGAGCAUGGGUGGGAAACGCUGCCAACUCUGGAUCCCCCUCCCAGUGAAACGUCCAGCAAGCAGCCUUUCCAGGGCUGGCAAGAAAACGGUGCAAUGUGCGAGGUUGAAAACAAAUACAACUAUUCCUAAAAGAGUGACCAGAAGUAAGAGUACACCAGCCAGGUUACAUCUACAUCUGCGAGAACUCAGCAUCUCACGAAAAGGAUAAGAUACUCACGCCUCCAUGUUUCCUGCUAAUAGCAUUUCAACAAUAAGUGAGUGAGGGAUGAUAGAAUUGAAAUAUCUUCAUUUUGCAACCCCUGAUGAAUUGAGCCUGAGUGGAUGCUAGCAACACAAAAAGAGAGGCACCCAACACUGUGUGUGUGUGCUUCUUGAUGAAAGAGACACCACCGUAUACAAAGGAGUCUUCUUCCCCCAAAGGAUCAAACGUGGCUCUGUUAAAGCCUCUAGAUUCAACUAUCAACUUUCAUGGAACACAAAAUGAGUAUUUACAGAAAGACUCAGAAACAGUUUACCAUGCCUGGACAUCCCGCCCUUUAUCAUGGAUAUAUGUGCUCCUGACUGUGACUCUAUACUGCAUACAUGGAAUUAGAGAAAACGAAGUAAGAUACGAUAUGAAGAAGAACUUCCAACAAACAUCCUCUGGUAGAGUCAUUACAGAAGAUGAUCAUGAAAAAACUUCAACAAAGAUCCUGGCGCUGUUGCAGUUGCAGCUGCAUUCAUCCCACCGG